rnacentral:pre_miRNA from 1 species
AGCACAAUUGCUGGAUCAUAUGGUAAGUGUAUGUUUAGUUUUAUAAGAAACUGCCAACCUGUGUUCCAAAGUUGCUAUACUAUUUUGCAUUCCUGCCAACAAU